AAGGUUUGCAAUUGAAAGAGAAGAGUUAGCAGAGAUGCUGCAGACAAACCUUCCUGUCCAUUACAUUGCAAAAAUGAUUGGUGUUUCCACAAGAACCAUCUUUAGAAGGAUGAACGAGUUUGGCCUUUCGAUCUCAGGGAUGUAUAGCUGCAUCACUGAUGAGGAGUUGGAUAACCUUGUGAGAAGCAUUAAGGAUGAUAUGCCUGUUGCUGGUUACAGAAUGGUCAGAGGAAGGUUGUUGUCUUUAGGAAUGCGUGUUCAAUGGCAGAGAAUAGCUGCCUCAAUGCACCGUGUUGAUUCAGUUGGAAUCCUUUCGAGAUUGGCCAGGUUGGGAUGUGUGGUGCGGCGAACGUACUCAGUUAGAGGGCCCCUUUCCCUUGUGCACAUAGACACAAAUCGAUACGAUACAACAUUGUAAUAUUUGGUGGUGUGGAUGGUUAUUCCAGGAAGGUCAUGUACUUAAAAGCAGCAACUAACAACCGGGCAUCGACAGCAUACCACUUCUUCUCAGAAGCAGUCCAGACAUUUGGCUUACCAUCUAGGUGAGUAUAGUAAAGAAAAGGCAUUUGAAUUUUAUGUCUGGAAAUGUAUUGUACUAUAACAAAAUAAAUCAGGGUCAGGGGAGACCAAGGAGUGGAGAAUGUACAGAUAGCCAGGUUCAUGUUUUCUUCAAGAGGCACGGACCGAGGAAGUUUCAUAUCCGGGAAAAGUGUCCAUAAUCAAAGGAUUGAGCGCCUCUGGCGUGAUGUUAGAACCAUGGUGACUAACAAGUACUCGGACACACUGCACUCCCUAGAGGCAGAAGGAUUGCUGGACUUAUCAGUGGUCGAGGACCUUUUCAGUGUGCACUACACUUAACUCCAAAGACUUCAGGCAGACUUGGACACAUUUUCCGAAGCCUGGAAUCAUCAUCCACUCUCCUCAGAGGGCAAUCGAAGUCCAGAGCAACUGUGGCAGAUUGGAAUGAUGC